GAGGCACAGUGCUUGCUUCUGUAGCACUGGAACAAUACAGAGAGGAUUAGCAAUGGCCCCUAGGCAAGAAUGACAUGCAAAUUCAUGAAGCAUUCCAUAUUUUU
ensembl:snRNA U6 U6 spliceosomal RNA